rnacentral:rRNA from 1 species
AUUUAGCUAGUCAAAACAAGCAAAGCGUAACUUAAGUUUGCUUUCCCGAAACUAAGUGAGCUACUUUGAAACAGCCUUACGGGCCAACUCGUCUCUGUUGCAAAAGAGUGAGAAGAUUUUUAAGUAGAAGUGAAAAGCCUAUCGAACUUAGAGAUAGCUGGUUAUUUGGGAAAAGAAUAUUAGUUCUGCCUUAAGCCAAACAACACAGUUUAAAGUAACUUAAGAGUUAUUCAAAUAAGGUACAGCCUAUUUGAUACAGGAAACAACCUAGAAAGUAGGGUAACGUCAUUUAAAACGUAAUUAAGUUGGCCUAAAAGCAGCCAUCUUUUAAAAAGCGUCAAAGCUUAAUUAUUUAAUAAUACUAAUUUCAACAAAAAUACAAAACCCACAUUUAAUACCAAAUAACUUUAUAUAAUUAUAAAAGAUAUUAUGCUAAAACUAGUAAUAAGAAAAAGACUUUCUCCUAAAUAUAAGUGUAACGCAGAAUAAACAAAUUACUGCUAAUUACUGUUCAUGACUCAAUAGUAGUAACCUUACUAGAAAACCCUACUAAUUAUAACAUUAAUCUAACACAAGAGUA